UAGGGAAUCUUCCACAAUGGACGCAAGUCUGAUGGAGCAACGCCGCGUGAGUGAAGAAGGCUUUCGGGUCGUAAAACUCUGUUAUUGAAGAAGAACGUGCGUGACAGUAACUGGUCAUGCAGUGACGGUAUUCAAUCAGAAAGUCACGGCUAACUACGUGCCAGCAGCCGCGGUAAUACGUAGGUGGCAAGCGUUGUCCGGAUUUAUUGGGCGUAAAGCGAGUGCAGGCGGUCUUUUAAGUCUGAUGUGAAAGCCUUCGGCUUAACCGAAGAAGGGCAUCGGAAACUGGGAGACUUGAGUGCAGAAGAGGAGAG
rnacentral:rRNA from 1 species